rnacentral:rRNA from 1 species
CCUACGGGAGGCAGCAGUGAGGAAUAUUGGUCAAUGGGCGGAAGCCUGAACCAGCCAAGUAGCGUGCGGGAUGAAGGCCCUACGGGUCGUAAACCGCUUUUGCACGGGGAUAACACCCUCCACUUGUGGAGGUCUGCAGGUACCGUGCGAAUAAGGGCCGGCUAAUUCCGUGCCAGCAGCCGCGGUAAUACGGAAGGCCCGAGCGUUAUCCGGGUUCAUUGGGGUUAAAGGGAGCGUAGGCGGGCGUUCAGGUAAGCUGUAAAAUCGCGCGGCUCAGCCGAGCCCCGCAGUUGAAACUGGAAGCCUUGAGUACACAACAGGCAGGCGGAAUUCGUGGUGUAGCGGUGAAAUGCAUAGAUAUCACGAGGAACCCCGAUUGCGAAGGCAGCCUGCCGGGGUGCGACUGACGCUGAGGCUCGAAGGUGCGGGUAUCAAACAGGAUUAGAUACCCUAGUAGUC